CCUACGGGUGGCUGCAGUGGGGAAUAUUGCACAAUGGGGGAAACCCUGAUGCAGCGACGCCGCGUGAAGGAAGAAGUAUUUCGGUAUGUAAACUUCUAUCAGCAGGGAAGAAAAUGACGGUACCUGACUAAGAAGCCCCGGCUAACUACGUGCCAGCAGCCGCGGUAAUACGUGGGUGGCAAGCGUUAUCCGGAUUUACUGGGUGUAAAGGGUGCGUAGGCGGUUUGGUAAGUCAGAAGUGAAAGCCCCGGGCUCAACUGGGGGAGUGCCUUUGAAACUGUUGAACUAGAUUGCAGGAGAGGUAAGUGGAAUGCCUAGUGUAGCGGUGAAAUGUGUAGAUAUUAGGCGGAACACCAGUGGCGAAGGCGGCUUACGGGACUGUAAAUGACGCUGAGGCUCGAAAGCGUGGGGAGCAAACAGGAUUAGAUACCCCAGUAGUC
rnacentral:rRNA from 1 species